UACGAAGGGGGCGAGCGUUGUUCGGAUUUACUGGGCGUAAAGGGCGCGUAGGCGGCGGGUCAAGUCGAGUGUGAAAGCCCCGGGCUCAACCUGGGAAUUGCGCUCGAGACUGGUCUGCUUGAGUUCGGGAGAGGAGAGUGGAAUUCCCAGUGUAGAGGUGAAAUUCGUAGAUAUUGGGAAGAACACCGAUGGCGAAGGCAGCCAUCUGGACCGACACUGACGCUGAGGCGCGAAAGCGUGGGGGAGCAAACAGG
rnacentral:rRNA from 1 species